AUUGAACGCUGGCGGCAGGCCUAACACAUGCAAGUCGAACGGUAACAGGAAGCAGCUUGCUGCUUCGCUGACGAGUGGCGGACGGGUGAGUAAUGUCUGGGAAACUGCCUGAUGGAGGGGGAUAACUACUGGAAACGGUAGCUAAUACCGCAUAACGUCGCAAGACCAAAGAGGGGGACCUUAGGGCCUCUUGCCAUCGGAUGUGCCCAGAUGGGAUUAGCUAGUAGGUGGGGUAACGGCUCACCUAGGCGACGAUCCCUAGCUGGUCUGAGAGGAUGACCAGCCACACUGGAACUGAGACACGGUCCAGACUCCUACGGGAGGCAGCAGUGGGGAAUAUUGCACAAUGGGCGCAAGCCUGAUGCAGCCAUGCCGCGUGUAUGAAGAAGGCCUUCGGGUUGUAAAGUACUUUCAGCGGGGAGGAAGGGAGUAAAGUUAAUACCUUUGCUCAUUGACGUUACCCGCAGAAGAAGCACCGGCUAACUCCGUGCCAGCAGCCGCGGUAAUACGGAGGGUGCAAGCGUUAAUCGGAAUUACUGGGCGUAAAGCGCACGCAGGCGGUUUGUUAAGUCAGAUGUGAAAUCCCCGGGCUCAACCUGGGAACUGCAUCUGAUACUGGCAAGCUUGAGUCUCGUAGAGGGGGGUAGAAUUCCAGGUGUAGCGGUGAAAUGCGUAGAGAUCUGGAGGAAUACCGGUGGCGAAGGCGGCCCCCUGGACGAAGACUGACGCUCAGGUGCGAAAGCGUGGGGAGCAAACAGG
rnacentral:rRNA from 1 species